AUCCUGUCCUUCCUCCCAGAAAUUCAAAGUCAUCAGGAGGAUCCAGCUGCUCCAGCAGGCUGCAAAUGCGUAUGACCUGGAGCCUGAAGAGCGAUUUGGGGCCUGUUUCCAGGCCAUGGAGCCCAUCAGUGUCCAUGAGAGCUACUGGGUCUCCUGCCAGCUGGAGUCCGCACACCAGAAGGCGAGCAAAAUGCAGCUCUUCAAGAGAAAGAGGAACUGGACAUCCUCCAGUUUAGGGCCGACAGCCACGCCCUUGGCGAUGAGCCGUCACAUUCUGGAGACCACAAGUGCAGCUCCUACUGACCAGCAGGGACACUGGCGACCUCAGGGUGCACGGG